CCUACGGGUGGCAGCAGUGGGGAAUAUUGCGCAAUGGGCGAAAGCCUGACGCAGCGACGCCGCGUGAGGGAUGAAGGUCUUCGGAUCGUAAACCUCUGUCAGCAGGGAAGAACGGUCACUGUGCUAAUCAGCAGUGAAUUGACGGUACCUGCAAAGGAAGCACCGGCUAACUCCGUGCCAGCAGCCGCGGUAAUACGGAGGGUGCGAGCGUGAAUCGGAAUUACUGGGCGUAAAGCGCACGUAGGCGGUAUGUCAAGUAAAGGGUGAAAUCCCCGCGCUCAACGUGGGAACUGCCUUUGAAACUGGCAAACUGGAGUGUGUGAGAGGAUAGUGGAAUUCCAGGUGUAGGAGUGAAAGCCGUAGAUAUCUGGAGGAACAUCAGUGGCGAAAGCGACUAUCUGGCACAUAACUGACGCUGAGGAGCGAAAGCGUGGGUAGCAAACAGGAUUAGAUACCCUUGUAGUC
rnacentral:rRNA from 1 species